UCGAGGGGUAAGUAGCAAUACUAGAGACCGGCGCACGGGUGCGUAACGCGUAUGCAAUCUGCCUUUCACAGAGGGAUAGCCCAGAGAAAUUUGGAUUAAUACCUCAUAGCACAAUGAGUUGGCAUCAACACAUUAUUAAAGUCACAACGGUGAAAGAUGAGCAUGCGUCCCAUUAGCUAGUUGGUAAGGUAACGGCUUACCAAGGCUACGAUGGGUAGGGGUCCUGAGAGGGAGAUCCCCCACACUGGUACUGAGACACGGACCAGACUCCUACGGGAGGCAGCAGUGAGGAAUAUUGGUCAAUGGGCGCAAGCCUGAACCAGCCAUGCCGCGUGCAGGAUGACGGUCCUAUGGAUUGUAAACUGCUUUUGUACGGGAAGAAACAACUCUACGUGUAGAGUCUUGACGGUACCGUAAGAAUAAGGAUCGGCUAACUCCGUGCCAGCAGCCGCGGUAAUACGGAGGAUCCAAGCGUUAUCCGGAAUCAUUGGGUUUAAAGGGUCCGUAGGCGGUUUAGUAAGUCAGUGGUGAAAGCCCAUCGCUCAACGGUGGAACGGCCAUUGAUACUGCUAGACUUGAAUUAUUAGGAAGUAACUAGAAUAUGUAGUGUAGCGGUGAAAUGCUUAGAGAUUACA
rnacentral:rRNA from 1 species